AGUAAGGAAUAUUGGUCAAUGGGCGCAAGCCUGAACCAGCCAUGCCGCGUGCAGGAAGACGGCCCUAUGGGUUGUAAACUGCUUUUAUACCGGAAUAAUUCUCAUUACGUGUAAUGAGUUGAACGUACGGUAAGAAUAAGGAUCGGCUAACUCCGUGCCAGCAGCCGCGGUAAUACGGAGGAUCCGAGCGUUAUCCGGAUUUAUUGGGUUUAAAGGGUGCGUAGGCGGCUUAUUAAGUCAGGGGUGAAAGACGGUGGCUCAACCAUCGCAGUGCCCUUGAUACUGAUGAGCUUGAAUGGACUAGAGGUAGGCGGAAUGUGACAAGUAGCGGUGAAAUGCAUAGAUAUGUCACAGAACACCGAUUGCGAAGGCAGCUUACUAUGGUUUAAUUGACGCUGAGGCACGAAAGCGUGGGGAUCAAA
rnacentral:rRNA from 1 species